rnacentral:lncRNA from 1 species
AUCUCACUGUCCAAAACUAAAUUAGAAUAUAACGGGUUUCCUCUAGUCAUAAACGAAAAAAACCUGCUAGAAGCAAACAAACGAAAAAUUAGAAUAUAAAAAUUAAAUUAAAAACAAAAAUAUUAAAAUAAAAAUAAAAAUAAAAAAUGGCUAAAUUAAUAGAAAUAAAGUUUUCCAAAUAUUUUAGUCAUCGACAACGACGCCA